rnacentral:rRNA from 1 species
CCUACGGGAGGCAGCAGUCUAGAAAUUUGCACAAUCGCCGAAAGGCGGAUGCAGCGACACCACGUGGAGGAUGACACCCCUCGGGGUGUAAACUCCUGUCAGAAGGGAAGAAGGCGCGGGCGUUAAUACCGCUCAUUGCUUGACGGUACCUUCAGAGGAAGCUCCGGCUAACUACGUGCCAGCAGCCGCGGUAAUACGUAGGGAGCGAGCGUUGUUCGGAUUUACUGGGCGUAAAGGGCACGUAGGCGGGUAUGCAAGUCGAUUGUGAAAUCCUCUGGCUCAACCAGAGAACUGCAGCCGAAACUGCACACCUUGAGUCCAGCAGAGGGAAUCGGAAUCCCAGGUGUAGCGGUGAAAUGCGUAGAUAUCUGGGAGAACAUCAGUGGCGAAGGCGGAUUCCUGGGCUGGUACUGACGCUGAGGUGCGAAAGCUAAGGGAGCGAACAGGAUUAGAUACCCUGGUAGUCUUAGCCGUAAACGAUGGGUACUAGGUGUUGGGGGACAUUGACCCCCUCAGUGCCGUAGCUAACGCAUUAAGUACCCCGCCUGGGGAGUACGGCCGCAAGGCUGAAACUCAAAGGAAUUGACGG